UUUAUUAUUUUUAUUGCACGGUAACCGACAAAUUGCAACUAACCACUGUAUGUCUGGAGUAUAUAAGAGCCUGCGAUAAUUCAUCAGUGAGCAAUUGUGGAUCAGUCGUUGGAGCUCACAUUUCGUUGAAUAUCCUUUGAAUUAUCACCGAACGCACGCAUCAUGAAAUUCGUUUUUUUCCUACUGAUUGCCUUUUUCGGUAUUCAGGUUCUCUUUGCGGCCGAAAUUGUGAAUAAUGCCUUGAAUUUACUUGACUUAAAAAGGGAUGACACCUGCGUUCCGAUAUGUCCGGUUCCCAUUUCUAAUAAAGUAAAAUGUUUGACAUCAACAACCUGUCCCGGAUUGAAGCUCGCCUAUGCAAGGAAUAAAAGAGGAGAUUAUCGUUUCCCGUGCUAAAUGUCUGUUCACUUUUUCUGUAAACUGGAGUGUCUUCGUAUUAUGUAACUCAUCUUUUUAUUAGACAUUUUAAGUCUGUAUGUUAUUAGCAAGUUAAUUAAUAAAAUAACAUUUUAUUUAAA